rnacentral:rRNA from 1 species
CCUCGAAAUAGCUUUAGGGCUAGCCUCAUGCAAGUCUUACGGAGGUAGAGCACUGAAUUCCUAAGGGGGCGUCAAAGCUUACCAAGGGAUAUCAAACUCCGAAUGCCGUGUAGAUNGUGCAUGGGAGUCAGACUAUCCGAGAUAAGUUGGGUAGUCAAAAGGGAAAGAGCCCAGACCUACAGCUAAGGUCCCAAAAUGUGUGUUAAGUGGAAAAGGAUGUGGGAUUUCGAAGACAACUAGGAUGUUGGCUUAGAAGCAGCCAUCCAUUAAAAGAGUGCGUAAUAGCUCACUAGUCGAGAGGUCCUGCGCCGAAAAUGUCCGGGGCUGAAACACACUACCGAAGCUUGGGAAUUGACGAAUGUUAAUUGGUAGAGGAGCAUUCUUAACGGGGCGAAGCUGUACCGGAAGGAGCAGUGGACUGUUAAGAAGAGAGAAUGCCGGAAUGAGUAGCGAGAGGAAGGUGAGAAUCCUUCCGGCCGAAUAUCUAAGGUUUCCAGAGUAAAGCUGAUCUGCUCUGGGUAAGUCGGGGCCUAAGGCGAGGUCGAAAGACGUAGUCGAUGGAUAACAGGUAAAGAUUCCUGUACUGUAUCAUAACAGAACUGUGGGGACGCAGACAGAGAGCAUAAGCCGGGAAUGGAAAGACCGGUACAAGCGAGGUAGGAGUGCAUCAGGCAAAUCCGGUGCACAAUCUGAAGACGUGAUGUGGGGCGUAAAGCCGGAAGUAUGUGAGCUGGCUGCCAAGAAAAGCCGCUAUUGUUUAUGAUAUACCCGUACCGUAAACCGACACAGGUGGAUGAGGAGAGAAUCCUAAGGCCGACGGGAGAAGCAUUGUUAAGGAACUCGGCAAAAUGACUCCGUAACUUCGGGAGAAGGAGUGCCAUGUAAAAGUGGCCGCAGAGAAUUGGCCCAAGCAACUGUUUAGCAAAAACACAGGUCUAUGCAAAACCGAAAGGUGAGGUAUAUGGGCUGACGCCUGCCCGGUGCUGGAAGGUUAAGGGGAGAGGUUAGCCGUAAGGCGAAGCUUUGAACUUAAGCCCCAGUAAACGGCGGCCGUAACUAUAACGGUCCUAAGGUAGCGAAAUUCCUUGUCGGGUAAGUUCCGACCCGCACGAAAGGCGUAAUGAUUUGGGCACUGUCUCAACAAUGCACCCGGUGAAAUUGAAAUACCAGUGAAGAUGCUGGUUACCUGCGCCAGGACGGAAAGACCCCAUGGAGCUUUACUCCAGCUUGAUACUGGGAUUCGAUAUUGCAUGUACAGGAUAGGUGGGAGACUGAGAACUGAUGACGCCAGUUGUCAGGGAGUCACUGUUGGGAUACCACCCUUGUAGUAUUGGAUUUCUAACCAGCAGCCGUGAACCGGCUGGGGGACAAUGUCAGGUGGGGAGUUUGACUGGGGCGGUCGCCUCCGAAAGGGUAUCGGAGGCGCUCAAAGGUUCCCUCAGAAUGGUUGGAAACCAUUCGAAGAGUGCAAAGGCAGAAGGGAGCUUGACUGCGACACCGACGGGUGGAGCAGGUACGAAAGUAGGACUUAGUGAUCCGGUGGUAUAAAGUGGGAUCGCCAUCGCUCAACGGAUAAAGCCAACCUGGGGAUA